UUUUCAAUUGCACUGUACCAAUGAACAGUGUUUUGAACCACAUUUCAGUUUAUUUACAAGAUUGCCACCGCCUCUUCAGUUUCAGAUUGAAAAUUUCGAUUUAUUUACGAAAUAACCACCCUUCAGCGUGCACGUGUCGAGCAAAAGCAAACCCGACUUUGUUCCAGAGAUCUCUUCGAUGACAAACCCAUUUUGCUCCAGAGCUCUUCAACGACAAAGUCGAUUCGGCGCCUCACCGUCGCACACCUCGCCUUCCCCUCGCCGUCGCACACCUCACCUUACCUCGCCGCCGCAGUCCUUACCAGAACUCGAAUCAAUGCCAAAACUCACGGAUUAGGCUGAGAUUGAGAUAUAUGGGAGGAUUUGUGGACGGAUUUCAGGGAGAGAGGCCCACGAGAACGACAAAGACGGUCUCGCCUCCAUCCUAUCCUCCUUUCGCCGCCGUCUACCUUCCCUCGCCUAUGUCGUCUUACUCCACCGUUUGCGUCAGGAAGGCUCGUGCGUGGUUUUUUGGGUGGGGAUUUCAAAUUUCAAGGGGGAGAGAGGCUGUGGUUCGUUUCGAUCGGGCCGAGCCUCUAUGAUUCCAUUGGAUCGAGGUGAUGGGGACAAGGCGAGAGGUUGAGGGAAGUCGGCUCUAAGACUCUGCAUCUCUCACUUUCUCAUCUCUCAAACCACUUCUCUCUCUCCCAUCUCUCCCACUGUCUCCGUCUCUUGGUUUUCUCGCUCACUCUCUGUCCACUGAAAUUUCAAGAAAUUCUGAGAUGGAAAAGGUUACGGAAAAAUUGGAAGGUAGAAAUUCCAAUAUGAGUUCUCCAGCCGAUUUGAGAGUUUUCUAUUGGGGAAACGUUAGGACCUGAUUGUUCCACAUCGAAAAAACAGCAGCAGUGGGUCCUAUUUAAAAUUAAUCUAAUUGAAGAGACUAAGGACUGGGCACCUUCUACAAGCCGCAGUACUACUAUUUGAGGUUUUGCAUCAUUGGAGCAUCAGGCAUAUGUCAUUGCUUUAUCUAAGGAGAUGGUAAAAUCUUGGAUUGCCAAUUGAGGAUAUAGCUGCAAUUCAAAUUCAGACUGCUUUCCUUGCACAUGUUGCUCAUGGAAUACUCUUCCCAAACUUAAUCAGUAAGCGAGUGAACGACAUAAGUUUCUAAAUUACAGAGAGGAGAUAUCUCAUUACAAGGAACUCAAUCCAACAGAACUCAGUCCAAAAGAACAUUUGCUACUCUUAAAAGCAUUAUGUGGACUCCAAGCUCAAUGCCCAUUUCCACCCAAAUUGAAUCUCAAGUUCUUCUGCUUUCGAAGACGGCAUGAUUUGACAAGAUCAUCAACAAGGAAAUACCGAAUAAGGUGGUUUUGAAGACGAUAAGGUCUUGAAGAAGCAGCUGACGCUGAUUUAUCCGAGAGACGAAGGCAAGCCUCUACUAAAACAGCCCAUAUUGGCCGACGACAGAGAUUUAGUAUGCAAGGUCGGCAAGCUGGUGAGGUUUCCAAGGACGUCACCAAUUUCGUGAAGUUGCUGGAGAACAAAUCGGAAAAGUUCACUGCUUUCUUUGUGGAGAAGGAGGUAGUACGUUAGUCGAUGGAAGGUAUUAUUUCUUGAUUUUCUUUAAAAAAUUAUCGAAGAUUACAAUUGAGAUUCUAGAAUUAUGAGAAUUUGUUUAGGAAUUGAGAGAUUGACUUGCUGCUUGCGAAUUCAGAAAAUUUAUGGUUUUUUAUAUGAGAAUUUUGGUUUAGGAUAUCGAAAGAUUGUCUUUGAUGUAUGAUAUUGAAUUUGGAUGAAAUUUAUUAGAUUUUGCCUUUUUUUUAGGCCGUUGUAUGUAUUAAGUUUGUAAUUAGGAACUGUUUUGUAUGAUUUUCUGUAUUUGUAAUUGUUCAGCAUAAUAAAAUAUAGGGUUUUUUCUUUUUGCUGUGUUGAUUUUCAUGUACUCUGUAUUCAUAAUUGUUUAUUUUUUUAAGGGAAAUGUGGGAUAUGAUAGAGAUGUAAGCAAUUUCAAAUCUUCAUCUAUCCCAUUUCCACUUUGUUCAAUUCAAUUUGAUUUAGCGUUAUUUUCGUUGCUUUUGAGGAUACCAAAUUAAAAGUGCCUUUUGAUCUUUGUAUAUGUGCUAAUUUGAAUUGGAUAUGUUGAAUUAGAGACGUGCUACUUUGAAUUGGAUAGGUUGAAUUGAAGUGUGCUAUAUUGAUAUAUGAUGAACUGAUGGUUACAGAACACACACGCACACUCACCCGUCAUCACAUACUCUGGGGCUGCAGAACCAUAGGUUCCCAUGACUCGCGUCGAAACAUGAGUUUUAUCACCCUCAGGACCAUCUUUCGCAAGUUCGAAAUCCGAAGGCUUGGCAUUGUAAUCCUAAAAUAACUCAUUCAUUUAACACAUGAAAAUUAUGCAUUUUCAUAAUUAAAGUUUUAAAUUGUCAUCAUUCUGUUCAAAUGCACCAUUUCCGUUUUGUUUCCCUUCUCUCAUCUUGCAAGCACUCAUGGUGUCCAUUUCCUUUUAAUUUCGGUUAAUGCAGGUUUUGAAAUUUGUGAUGAUCAUUUUCAUAUUUCUAUAAAUUUUGAGAGAAAAAAGCAUGUGAAAAAGACACCUAAAAGCAGCUAAGUAAACAGUUUAAUCAAGAAACAAUUCAGAAGUAGAACCAAAUAAGCCACGGUCCAACUUUCGCACACCCUCUGGCGUAAUUUAAUAUCAGAAACCGUCUCCUGAAUUCAAGUUUGCCUAGAGCUUCUAAUUGUCUGUGCCCAUCAUGUCUUUCUUGGUUUACAACCAAGGACCGAUUAGUGAGAGCAAUAUCAGAAACCGUCUCCUGAAUUCAAGUUUGCCUAGAGCUUCUAAUUGUGUGCGCCCAUCGUGUCUUUCUUGGUCUACAACCAAGGACUGAUUAGUGAGAGCUUAAAAAAUAGAUAGUUGUCAUAAACAAACAAUUGAUCAUGAUGAUGUUUUUUGUAAUUUGGGUUUAUAGUGCUUCUAAAUGCUGUUUUAAUUGAGUUUUCUGUGUUUGGUCAAUUUGUUGUUGCGGAUGGGUGAUACGUUUUUUUUCUUUCAGUUAAGAAACAGUGCCUUUCAGAGUUGUAAUUUUUUGUUGGGGUUUUUUCAAGCUGCUGUGUUAAAGGUAUAUGAUGUGUUUUUUUCUUUUCGCUUUAUUCUUGCUGAUUUGGGAUGGUUUUUACAUUGUAUUUUUGUUAUGAGUUUGUUGUCCCAUUUUUGUGAUGGACUUGGAAUGAAAUGGGAUUGGGGGGUGAUAAAAAUUUCUAGCUAGCUAGGGAAAGGUCACAGUGUUCAGAUUUUGCAGGUGGGAUAUUAGGGUGAGGGAAAAAUGGGAAAGAGAGCAUGGAAGACAAAUUUAGGAUUAGAGAUAGGAAAACUAAUCAAAAGAUUAUGACAGAGGAAAGGGUUGUGUUAAUUUGGAUUUUUUUUUUCGACUGAUUUGGGAUUUUUUAUUUUUUAUUUUUCUGUGAUUGCCAAGUCAGCUUGAAAGAGAGCAAUAACCAAAUUAUUCGAAGAUAGGUUCUCUACAUAAUUAGGUUCAUGCAUGUACCUACUGCUACGGCACUCAAGUCAUUUUCUUAAUUUAUGCGCAUAUAUGAUACGUAACCAACACAUGUUUUCAAAGGAUGUUAGUGUUCAAGCUCUGAUGAUAUUUUAUUCUAUUCAUUUUGAUUUUGUUUUUCAGUUGUGGUUAUAGGAUUGUUUUGUUUUGUUUUUUUUCUUUUUUUUUGCUUUUCUAAAAUUCAACUGUUGUUCUCAAUUUGGUUAUUUGAACUGAGGCCAGUUAGGAUGUGCCUUUGGAAAGUCUCACUGCUUUUAAAGUUGAAUGGUGCUAACUGAAUAUAAUGCGUUCAUUCUUCAGUGUGUGUGAGCGUAUGUGUAUGCAGUAUAUGUGAGUGCAUGCAGUGUGUGCAGUGUGUCACUUGGGCUGUUGGCUUUUUGAGGGAAACAUAACUUUUUUGGAAACCAUCUCUUUCUAAUCAAAGAUGUUCAGUUUCUUCCCACUCAUUGUACAAUGUGUUUAUAUGUCAGCUCACUUGAAUGUAUAUAAAAAAAACUGUUUGUUCAUAAUUGUGUUGAAUUUAUUCAACUUAAAUGUGUUUUAUUCAUCCGAUUACACCUCAAACAACAUGUUCCCGCAGCAACGCGCGGGCAUAUUUUCUCGUAUUAUCUAAAUACAACCACAUAUAUCCUAAUCAACCACUAAAUUGUAAAAAAGCGAGAAGAACUAAAAAAAUAACUUCUCAAUUAU